GACAGCUCAUGCGUGUAUGCUGGUGUCUCUCUGUGUGGCGCGUGCGUCAGUGUUUGCACUAAAACUCUCCCUCUUCAGUGUCGCGCCACCGUUCAUCGUCGGCCCCCAGAAAACCUAGCCGCGCACACACCGAUAUACCGACAAACCCACAGGCGCACAUAAACACAGAAACGACUUUGCAGCCGCAGCAUCGCGUUUGCACAUCAACAGCGAGAGAGAGUCGACGCGGUAGUGCAAGUGAGGAAAAGACGACACAGCCACACGCGGAACCACCCCUUCCCGAGGCAAACGCUCCAGUGCGUGCCAGUGUGUGGAGAUCAGCGCCCGUGUAUGCGACCGGCGCUCUCUCAAGGGCGUCUUACCUCCACCCCACGCGCACUCGCUCCUCGUGCACAACUCCACCUCCGCGCUCUCUCUACGGCCGCACUGGUGGGACAGGCACCGCAACCUACUUUGCUUUAUUCGCCCCUUGAAUGAACCCGCAGGACCUCCCAUCGGUCUACCGCGGGGAGCCGCUGCCGCCACAGGCGCAGACCGUCGUGACCCUGCCAUCGCCCUUUUCCUGUGUUUCGCGCAAGAGCGGGCGACGAGGGGAAGAGACGAUGGCCUUGGAGAUGGCGUCGGAGAGCGUCGCUGGACACGCUGCGACGCGUUCGUUGCAACCGCCGCCGCUCACUCAGCUCGACGGUACAACCAGCGGUGCAAGCGCUGCCUCAGCAUCGCUGUCGCCGGUGACGCUGCAUGUAAACUGGAAUCGAUGGGGUGCAUCUCUGCCGCCGAUAGGCUACACCGUGUCCCAGCGAAAUCUCGGCGAGCAACCAGCCGGCGACGGCGGCCAACGAAGCAGGGAGCAAGCAUCACAUGAGCACGGCGGAGGGGACGCCGUGGCGGGGCAGGGCCGACUGUCGGUCACCGCUCCGCUGCCCGAGUCCGCUCACCGAGGGAAGCGGCGCCGCACGGAGCACACCAGCUUCACCUCGCUCUUGAAGGAGGUGUUCAUGUAUCUUGACAGCGUCUCCUCGACACAGCAGCAGCCCGAUCACGGAUACAUUAGCGGUAAUGCAGAGGAGGACGAGGAGGGCAGCCUCCAGCAGACCACCACCGUUCCGUCGUACACCACCGCUUCACGCUACACUUCGGCGAGUCCUGCCAUGCCCCACGGCGCCCGGGCUCGCAGCGACGAUAGCAGCGGCCCCGUCGCUGCGGCACCGGCGCCGCUGAUGUCUGUUGAUUUGGCAGUUCGAGACACGGUGCGCGUGCUGCAGCAGUGCUGGGAGUACCGCGGCUCCCCACACGACGCCUUUGAGCCGGUUCGCCUGCUCUCCCCCAUCACGGUUCAUCUUCUUCUCACCUACGGCCACCACAUCGUCACGCACGACGGCCAGUACAUGGUGCUGCGCGGUGGUGCGGAGCACCUGCCUUGGGUUGGCUGCCUCUACAGUAUCCUGCUCACCUACGUCUACCGCCACCGUGUCGCCCCAGCGACCAAGGCGGCUGCUGACAAUCGCGAACGGGGUGGCAGCGUGGCACCGGCGUUGGACUGCGUCUCGCGCCUCCUCCUCCUGAAUUGCCACAGCUUCGGCUGGCUGAACCACACCGGCCCCGGCGAGUACGAGUGUAGCCAUCGAAGGCUUUGCCAGGCUCGAGAGGCCCUUCUCGCGCUCCUCGAAGAUCCGCGGUACGCGGCUCUCGGUCGCCCUGCGGGGUGUCCUCUCUGCGCCGCGUCCAUGGUGGGCAGUAAUGCCUCGACGCUGAUACUGCUAGGCGACACAAUCGUGAUGGAGGGAGGCGUCCCAUCGCUAGGGCUGGCGCAUCCGCGCGACACGUUCACGGCGCACUACCAGUACGGCCGCGGCAUCGCUUGCUGCGUGCCCGAGAAGGGCGGUGGCUUUCAGCUGGACGUCACUGGUGCGCCUGUGGUGGCGGGACGCGGCGCGUAUGCGCCGACCUCAGGCACGGGACUAUGCGCUGCCCACCACGAGCCGCCGCGGCCAGCAGCAAUGCAGUCCAGUUGCGAGCGGCACCGGCAUCUACGUGAACAGCAUCCCGCAACGCCAGUAGGUGGCUGCCUGGUGGAGGAGGACUCUCCCACUUUGGUGCGUCCUGGCGGCCACGACCACGAUGGGCUGUGGCCCGGUGUGCGCUCCUCCUCGUUGUGGCUGAGCGGCACAGGCGCCGCCCCCUGUCGGCUGCCGCCGGUGUGCUGCGGCGUUUGUCGAGCUGCGGGGGUACUGGGCCAGGCAGUGCUGUUGGGCCCUACAGGGCCUCUCGUGAUCCACCUGCAGUUUGACGAGCGUGAAUGGUUCGACAUGAGCGCCCGAGCGGUGCCAGCAGCCACGACCCACGGCUGGCUAUCCGCCGCCGCCGCUGAGACUACGGCGGUGUGCCCGCCGCCAUCGUCGCACUUGGCAUCCCAGUACGCUUCCCAUCCAGCCAGCGCUCUGGCAGCGGCCUUGUACGCUGUCUUGGAAGGCGAGAGCACCGUUGGCCUCACCGUGCAGCACUACCACGCUUCUCUCGGAGAUCACCGCAACAGCUCACCACGCGUUGGCGACUCUGUCUCACUCGCCGAGUUUGUCGAGUGGCUGGUGUGGCUCCUGAACGCCCCGCCACCGGCCCUGGUUGUGGAGUGGCACCCCUCCACUUCUACCUCAGCUAUCACCACCACCUGCAUCACUCGCAGGUGCGGCGGGGUUACACCGAGCUCGUCGCGUGAUUCGGGAGUUGCCAGUGGUUCGCAAGCGUCGCUCUCGUCGCCCUGCUCCCCCAUGGCACAUCCGCACUCACCGCUGGCCCCAUCUCGAUCCUCGGCUACCGCGUUUCCGAAUCUCGUGGACUUGUGCGCCGCCACGGGCGGCUUGAACUCAUCUUUCAAGGUGACCCGCGCCUACGGCAGCGACGAGGGCCACGCAACUGCCUCGCUGUCCACGGACCACCAGCAACACGGCGGCUACCUGAACAGUCCCUCCGCAUCGCACGGGGACACCACCACCUUCGCUCCGUUAGGCAUGUUGGCCCAGCCCCGGCGCUCCACCGUGAUGCAGCUGCUUGAGACGUACAGCGACGUGGUGCAGAGCCGCGCGGCCAUGCCUGCUCCCCCUGCUGCCACCUCGUCGGCCCCCUCCGUUGGCAGGGCGCGCACUCUUCCAUUCACUGCCGCCAACGGCACGAGUGGGCACAUCGCCGAGGCGAUGAAGCCGCACCUGCUACUGGACUGGCUGCUGACGGCGCAGGAGUCAUUGCGACCCUGCGAAGCCACAUCCCUCUUCGACGGGGUGGAGCGGCCACUGGUGCUGGCGAAGGAGCUCGAUGUGGCGGCCGAGGCGGAGCAGUUACUGAACGCGAGUUCUGUGGCGACCUCACUGCAGUUUCGUCCUCGCACCCUACGCCUGUGAGACAAGGCGGCGUUGAUGGCGACCUGCGUGUUGGCGAAGCCCCCACCUCCUUUUAUCCCCGACUUGGGUCCUUCUCGCACCCCUCGCAGCUUC
rnacentral:misc_RNA from 1 species